rnacentral:rRNA from 1 species
UUGGUGGCGACCGGCGCACGGGUGCGUAACGCGUAUGCAACCUACCUUUAACAGGGGGAUAACACUGAGAAAUUGGUACUAAUACCCCAUAACAUCAGGACCGGCAUCGGUUCUGGUUGAAAACUCCGGUGGUUAUGGAUGGGCAUGCGUUGUAUUAGCUGGUUGGUGAGGUAACGGCUCACCAAGGCAACGAUACAUAGGGGGACUGAGAGGUUAACCCCCCACAUUGGUACUGAGACACGGACCAA